AGCCCUGUGGCCGAGUUGUUAGGUAGUGGUCUGCAAAACCUUCUACGGCGGUUCGAAUCCGCACGGGGCGUC
rnacentral:tRNA from 1 species